rnacentral:rRNA from 1 species
CUCGUAGGCGGUUUGGUAAGUCAGGUGUGAAAUCCCCAGGCUCAACCUGGGGCUGCCAUCUGAUACUGCCAUGACUUGAGUCCGGUAGGGGACCACGGAAUUCCAGGUGUAGCGGUGAAAUGCGCAGAUAUCUGGAGGAACACCAGUAGCGAAGGCGGUGGUCUGGGCCGGCACUGACGCUGAGGAGCGAAAGCGCGGGGAGCGAACAGGAUUAGAUACCCUGGUAGUCCACGCCGUAAACGUUGGGCACUAGGUGUGGGGACUAUUCAACGGUUUCCGCGCCGCAGCUAACGCAUUAAGUGCCCCGCCUGGGGAGUACGGCCGCAAGGCUAAA